rnacentral:rRNA from 1 species
CCUACGGGAGGCAGCAGUGGGGGAUAUUGCACAAUGGGGGAAACCCUGAUGCAGCGACGCCACGUGUGGGAAGACGGUCCUCUGGAUUGUAAACCACUGUCCCCAGGGACGAAGAUGACGGUACCUGGGGAGGAAGCUCCGGCUAACUACGUGCCAGCAGCCGCGGUAAUACGUAGGGAGCGAGCGUUGUCCGGAAUUACUGGGUGUAAAGGGAGCGUAGGCGGGACUGCAAGUUGGGUGUCAAAUCUACCGGCUCAACCGGUAGCCGCACUCAAAACUGCAGUUCUUGAGUGAAGUAGAGGCAGGCGGAAUUCCUAGUGUAGCGGUGAAAGGCGUAGAUAUUAGGAGGAACACCAGUGGCGAAGGCGGCCUGCUGGGCUUUUACUGACGCUGAGGCUCGAAAGUGUGGGGAGCAAACAGGAUUAGAUACCCCGGUAGUC